UGUACAUGUAUAUAUUAAAAAUAGAGAGAAUUAACGAGAAAGUACGAUUUGAGAGUACUCGCAGUUACUGAAAGCUUGAUAAAAGCCAAAAACAAUGAACAAAAAAAAAAAAAAAAAAAAAACAUGCAUCAGAGACUGAAAUUUAAUAAAACACAUCCCAGGGAUUUAGUAUUUUAACGCCAUGGAUAGUCAAAGAAGACAUGGUUUAUACAAUGCUAAAAAUAAAUUCGUAUUUUAGGUAAUGUGUAUUCCAUUAAUAAACGUUUGUUUGAACUACUAGUAUUAAUAAAAUUAUUUGUUUUAUUUUUCAAAGUAUAAAAUAUAAUUUCUUAUAUAAAAUUGAAAAUGGAAUAUGUAGUAUGUUAACAAUUUCAGUUUGGGUUUGUGAUCUAGUGGUAUCACCGAUGACUAGGGUGCUUAAAUUUCCGGGUUCUAUACUGAUUCGGGGCGCUGGAAAAUUUGGUACAUCAGAACAUACAUACCCCAGACUUCUAACCGGCCGAAAUUUUAACUAGGAUGGGUAUUUUGGGGGCCUCGGUUGGUCAAUGACACCCCUAACUGGUAUAUGGAGAUCACUCGGCUUAUAAUAAAAUUGAGAAUGGAAAUGGGGAAUGUGCCAAAGAGACAACAACCCGACCAUAGAGCAGACAACAGCAGAAGGUCACCAACAGGUCUUCAAUGCAACGAGAAAUUCUCGCACCCGGAGGUGUCCUUCAGCUGGCCCCUCAACAAAUAUAUACUAGUUCAGUGAUAAUGAACACCAUACUAAACUCCAAAUUGUACACAACAAACUAAAUUAAAGUUGAAAUAAUACAAGACUAACAAAGGCCAGAGGCUCCUGACUUGGGACAGGCGCAAAAAUGCGGCGGGGUUAAACAUGUUUAUGAGAUCUCAACCCUCCCCCUAUACCUCUAGCCAAUGUAGAAAAGUAAUAUGUUUAGUUUAUCGAUUCCUGCCGAUGGGCC
rnacentral:lncRNA from 1 species